UAGGUCGACCCGCUGAACUUAAGCAUAUCAAUAAGCGGAGGAAAAGAAACUAACCAGGAUUCCCUCAGUAACGGCGAGCGAAGUGGGAACAGCUCAGGCAUGGAAUCUCCGGUGGCCGUCGAAGGCUGCCGGCGAAUUGUGGCCUGGAGGGGCAGCCUGUGGCGCGCAUCCACUGCGCCCGAAGUUGACCUGGAACGGCGCGUCAGAGAGGGCGAGAGCCCCGUAGGGCAUACAAGCGGUGAGCGUCGUCACGCGAGGCUGCCUUCGCGGAGUCGGGUUGUUUGGGACUGCAGCCCAAAGUGGGUGGUAGACUCCAUCUAAAGCUAAAUACUGGCGCGAGACCGAUAGCGGACAAGUACC
rnacentral:rRNA from 1 species